rnacentral:rRNA from 1 species
AACGCGAAGAACCUUACCUGGGCUUGAACUACUCGUGGUAGUUCGCUGGAAACAGUGGACGACCCGCAAGGGAGCGAGCAGAGGUGCUGCAUGGUUGUCGUCAGCUCGUGUCGUGAGAUGUUGGGUUAAGUCCCGCAACGAGCGCAACCCCUGUGUCCUGUUGCCACCGGCGCAAGCCGAGCACUCUGGACAGACUGCCUCGCUUCAACGAGGAGGAAGGUGGGGAUGACGUCAAGUCAGUAUGGCCCUUACGGCCAGGGCUGCACACGUACUACAAUGCCCGGCACAGAGGGAAGCAAGACCGCAAGGUGGAGCAAAUCCCAUAAAACCGGGCCCAGUUCAGAUUGUCGUCUGCAACUCGACGGCAUGAAGCUGGAAUCGCUAGUAAUGGCGCAUCAGCUACGGCGCCGUGAAUACGUUCCCGGGCCUUGUACACACCGGAGUA